rnacentral:rRNA from 1 species
GAUGAACGCUGGCGGCGUGCCUAAUACAUGCAAGUCGAACGCGCAGCGAGAGGUGCUUGCACCUUUCAAGCGAGUGGCGAACGGGUGAGUAACACGUGGACAACCUGCCUCAAGGCUGGGGAUAACAUUUGGAAACAGAUGCUAAUACCGAAUAAAACUUAGUAUCGCAUGAUAUCAAGUUAAAAGGCGCUACGGCGUCACCUAGAGAUGGAUCCGCGGUGCAUUAGUUAGUUGGUGGGGUAAAGGCUUACCAAGACGAUGAUGCAUAGCCGAGUUGAGAGACUGAUCGGCCACAUUGGGACUGAGACUCGGCCCAAACUCCUACGGGAGGCUGCAGUAGGGAAUCUUCCACAAUGGGCGCAAGCCUGAUGGAGCAACGCCGCGUGUGUGAUGAAGGCUUUCGGGUCGUAAAGCACUGUUGUAUGGGAAGAAAUGCUAAAAUAGGGAAUGAUUUUAGUUUGACGGUACCAUACCAGAAAGGGACGGCUAAAUACGUGCCAGCAGCCGCGGUAAUACGUAUGUCCCGAGCGUUAUCCGGAUUUAUUGGGCGUAAAGCGAGCGCAGACGGUUGAUUAAGUCUGAUGUGAAAGCCCGGAGCUCAACUCCGGAAUGGCAUUGGAAACUGGUUAACUUGAGUGUUGUAGAGGUAAGUGGAACUCCAUGUGUAGCGGUGGAAUGCGUAGAUAUAUGGAAGAACACCAGUGGCGAAGGCGGCUUACUGGACAACAACUGACGUUGAGGCUCGAAAGUGUGGGUAGCAAACAGGAUUAGAUACCCUGGUAGUCCACACCGUAAACGAUGAAUACUAGGUGUUAGGAGGUUUCCGCCUCUUAGUGCCGAAGCUAACGCAUUAAGUAUUCCGCCUGGGGAGUACGAC